rnacentral:rRNA from 1 species
AGAGUUUGAUCAUGGCUCAGGACGAACGCUGGCGGCGUGCUUAACACAUGCAAGUCGAGCGGGGAUAUGCUUGGCACUGAUUACCGGGUUAGGGCGUGAGGGAUCUGGGGGUAAGCCAGAGAGGUCAUGCGCAGGCGAGGGGAGAUCGCCAUCCUAUCAGAGAUGAGGGGGAUACGCGGUAAUGAGUGCUGAGGAUAUUCUAGCGGCGGACGGGUGAGUAACGCGUGAACAAUCUGUCCCAGACAGGGGGAUAACACUUGGAAACAGGUGCUAAUACCGCAUAAGACCACGUUGUCGCAUGGCAAUGAGGUAAAAGGAGCAAUCCGGUUUGGGGUGAGUUCGCGUCCCAUUAGCUAGUUGGUGAGGUAACAGCUCACCAAGGCGACGAUGGGUAGCCGGCCUGAGAGGGCGACCGGCCACACUGGAACUGAGAGACGGUCCAGACUCCUACGGGAGGCAGCAGUGGGGAAUAUUGGGCAAUGGGCGAAAGCCUGACCCAGCAACGCCGCGUGAGGGAAGAAGGUUUUCGGAUUGUAAACCUCUGUCCCAUGGGACGAAGGAAGUGACGGUACCAUGGGAGGAAGCCCCGGCUAACUACGUGCCAGCAGCCGCGGUAAUACGUAGGGGGCGAGCGUUGUCCGGAAUGACUGGGCGUAAAGGGCGCGUAGGCGGCUUUUUAAGUUUGGAGUGAAAGUCCUGCUUUCAAGGUGGGAAUUGCUUUGAAAACUGAGGAGCUUGAGUGCGGAAGAGGUAAGUGGAAUUCCCAGUGUAGCGGUGAAAUGCGUAGAGAUUGGGAGGAACACCAGUGGCGAAGGCGACUUACUGGGCCGUAACUGACGCUGAGGCGCGAAAGCGUGGGGAGCGAACAGGAUUAGAUACCCUGGUAGUCCACGCGGUAAACGAUGAAUGCUAGGUGUAGCGGGUAUCGACCCCUGCUGUGCCGGAGUAAACACAAUAAGCAUUCCGCCUGGGGAGUACGGCCGCAAGGUUGAAACUCAAAUGAAUUGACGG